UUCUGCAGCUCAAUAUAUAGGAGAUCCUGUUAGUGAUUUCUUUCCAGAAACUUUGAACUGGUGGGGAGAACCAGAGAGAGUGAAAGGCAUGGUGCAGGCGGGAAAAAAGUGGCGACCCACUUGCAGCUCAGAGACAAACAAGGGUUUAUUGAAUUUACCAAGGAACUCUGGGAAAAAAGCUCAAUAUAACAGGACCACAAGGAGUGAAAACAAAAACCAGGAAAAACCACAGAUCAACUACUAUAGAAACCACAGUUAAACAACUAGGGAGCAGGACUGGGGAAACCAAGCACAGAACCCUAAUUCAUACAUCACAGUUACUGACUCACCAGAGAACAAUGCAGGGCAGGCAUGAUGUCAGAGUGUAGUUGUUGUUUGCAUGAUGUCAGAGUGUAGUUGUUGUUUGCUGUGCAGGGCUACAUUAAAAAGCAGCUCUGUGUGAAAUCAUCUCACCUUGUUCCUUCUCUGCCACUCUGAUGCCUUGAUUUGCCAAGUGCUAUGAUAAUUCAAAUGAGCAUAUAUUUGUCAUAAAACAAAAUUGCCCAGUUUCAAUAUUUGAUAUUGUGACAAGCAGAAUCUCGCAAUUCACAGAGUGCACUCAAAAGUAUGUAUUUCCAACACUAGACAAACAAGCAGGAAGGGAGUGAGCGGAAUCGGAAUCAAAGUAAUGAGGCAGAGUGGGGCUGGAGUCGGGGUGGUCGGGGACAGGGAAUCGAGAGGCAGAGUCAGUCGGGGUCAUGUGGAUUGUGUGUCGCUGGAGCAGUCGGAAUGGUCAGCAAGAUGGGCACAGUGUGUUGGGAGUGUGGGCGAGUUGGUGCUUGCUGUCUGUUAAGCCCAUUUACGGACUAAAAAUAAAAGUGUGUUCCUACUUAAAGCCAUUCCACCAUUUUGGCAGCCCACCACACCAAAAUCUUUGCUACCACGGCAAAAAAAACUUCAAUCCAACCAAUCAGUUAUCUAAUCCAAUGCCUUGGUGACUCACCCAUGAAGCCCAGUUCUCACCCCCAUGCACACAUUACAGAAUUCAACUGGUUAAUGGCACAAACAGCUAUGCUUACAUUGUCAUUUGGCAGACACUCUUAUAAAGGUCUAAUAAAAUGGCCUUAAUUAUGUAUUUUCCAAGGAAAAGAAAAACAAAAUAGGUAAACAGGAUAGCCAUUUAUUUUCUCUCAUCACUCUCUUACGCCCCAUUCACACACUGAAACCACUUAUUUAGUGCUUUUAUACCAUUAACGUGUCAUGUGGGGAUGAGAGCAAAUAAAGAGGGCUUAUCCCUCUUUAUUCACGACACUGAUAUCAGGUAUAGGGAGUACAUGGCAUUCGUUACUCACUUCCCAAAACAAACCUGAUAUGUUAGCCUCACCUGCUAAGUCAGAGUCAUAUACAAAGUUAGGUGGCAGGCAGUGCAGUUAGGCUGUUCUUGAAUGAAUCACUGGAAGCCUUAAUUUAGCAACAGGCUAAAACACAUAGUUAUAACUGUCACUGAAAAAUAAUGAGCCUAUAUAAAUUCAUAUAAUUAAAUGUGUUUUACCUCCAUAGACAGAGAGGGAACAGACCAUGAUUAAAAGAAACAAACAUGUACAGUAAUGGUCUGCAUUCCGGGAUCCGGGCGGGUUUGGUGCGUGGCCAAGGCAUGAUGCAGGCAGAUAGGAAGGGGGUGGAUGACCCACUUGCGGUUUGCAGGGAAAACAGAGCUUUAUUAACAAGCUGAACACUAGGAACUCUACAAAAAAAAAAAAAAAAAAAAAAAAACAGACCACAAGGGGG